GUGGGUUUGUAAGUCGGGCGUGAAAUCCCUCGGCUUAACCGAGGAACUGCGUCCGAAACUGCAUGGCUUGAGGACGGAAGGGGAAGGUGGAAUUCCUGGUGGAGCGGUGAAAUGCGUAGAUAUCAGGAGGAACGCCGGUGGCGAAAGCGGCCUCCUGGUCCGUUUCUGACGCUGAGGUGCGAAAGCUAGGGGAGCAAACAGGAUUAGAUACCCUGGUAGUCCUAGCCGUAAACGAUGGGCACUAAGUAGAGGGG
rnacentral:rRNA from 1 species